rnacentral:rRNA from 1 species
GGGAGUGAAAUAGAACCUGAAACCCUGCACUUACAAGCUGUGGAAGCACAUUUCUUGUGUGACCGCGUACUUUUUGUAGAACGGGCCAACGAGUUACGUUAAGUAGCAAGGUUAAGCACUUAAGGUGUGGAGCCGUAGCGAAAGCGAGUUUUAACUGAGCGUUCAGUUACUGGACGUAGACCCGAAACCGGGCGACCUACCCAUGAGCAGGAUGAAGCGAAAGUAAAAUUUCGUGGAGGUCCGAACCCACGAGCGUUGAAAAGCUCGGGGAUGACUUGUGGGUAGCGGUGAAAUUCCAAUCGAGCCCGGAGAUAGCUGGUUCUCCCCGAAAUAGCUUUAGGGCUAGCCUCAAGGUGAGAGAUACGGAGGUAGAGCACUGAAUGUCCUAGGGGGUAUUGCACCUACCGAAGACUAUCAAACUCCGAAUGCCGUCAUCUUAUACUUGGGAGUCAGACUGUGGGUGAUAAGAUUCAUAGUCGAAAGGGCAACAGCCCAGAUCGUCAGCUAAGGUCCCUAAAUGUAAGUUAAGUGGUAAAGGAUGUGGGAUUGCACAGACAACCAGGAUGUUGGCUUAGAAGCAGCCACUCAUUCAAAGAGUGCGUAAUAGCUCACUGGUCGAGUGAUCCUGCGCCGAAGAUUUCCGGGGCUAAAACUUACUACCGAAGCUACGGCAUCAGUAAUGAUGGGUAGGGGAGCUUCCCAUACGGGUUGAAGCAUGACCGUAAGGACAUGUGGACAGUAUGGGAGUGAGAAUGUUGGCAUGAGUAGCGAGAUGUGGGUGAGAAUCCCACAGGCCGUAAACCCAAGGU